rnacentral:rRNA from 1 species
GUCCAAGCAGUGAGUGUGAGAAGUAGGCAAAUCCGCUUCUCGCGAAGCAUGAGCUGUGAUGGGGAAGGAAAUUAAGUACGGAAGUUCCUGAUUUCACGCUGUCAAGAAAAGCCUCUAGGAAGAGUAGUACUGCCCGUACCGCAAACCGACACAGGUAGAUGAGGAGAGAAUCCUAAGGUGAGCGAGAGAACUCUCGUUAAGGAACUCGGCAAAAUGACCCCGUAACUUCGGGAGAAGGGGUGCUCUAUUAGGGUGCAAGCCCGAGAGAGCCGCAGUGAAUAGGCCCAGGCGACUGUUUAGCAAAAACACAGGUCUCUGCAAAACCGUAAGGUGACGUAUAGGGGCUGACGCCUGCCCGGUGCUGGAAGGUUAAGAGGAGUGCUUAGCUUCGGCGAAGGUACGAAUUGAAGCCCCAGUAAACGGCGGCCGUAACUAUAACGGUCCUAAGGUAGCGAAAUUCCUUGUCGGGUAAGUUCCGACCCGCACGAAAGGCGCAACGAUCUGGGCACUGUCUCAACGAGAGACUCGGUGAAAUUAUAGUACCUGUGAAGAUGCAGGUUACCCGCGACAGGACGGAAAGACCCCGUGGAGCUUUACUGCAACCUGAUAUGGAAUGUUUGUACCGCU